UCAUACAAAUUAAACCACUGUGCAUGGUAGCUGAAAUAAAGUAGACAAAGAAAUGGUUAAUGUAAGUGUGGGCAGAAAUGUUCAGGUCAAUAGCACCUUUAUUCAGUGAGGAAAAAAAAAAAACAACUUUCAGCGGUCUGAACAUUUGACAGAUUUCUGGAGGUGUCUUAUGUGUGGCGGCGUAUUUUGUCAAAUCUCAAGUGCAAUAUGAUGAGUCACCCUUCCAAGGCGGUGGAGACGCUGAAGUGCGGAAGAGAAAAUGUGCUGAAUUUGACGACAGAAUCUGCGCGAGCCCAGUUUUGACGGAGAGUGGCCACAUUUUUGGGUUGCGCCAUCCAGGAAGAGCGUGUAUCGUUGCAAAUUUUUUUUCACUUAACUUGGGAGGAUUGGGCUGAUGGUAUUUGGUGGGUUAAAGGUUUUCUGCAUAUAGGUCUAAAUUUAAUGUACAAUAAAUAUUUUCUACAGUACUGAAAACUACAACCACAACAAUGAAUACAAAGUUAAGUUAAGGUAGAAAUUGUGACACAGCUCUAAUACAUCUGGAUCUCAUUAAAUUUUGCAGCUUGACUGAGUGACGAUCAAUUGCCGACUCAUUCAGGAAAAUGACGCCGUCGCCUUUGUUUAACUUUGCAAGCUGCGAGCGGUAGCAGCCUCGCUCUUGGUCCCAAUGCAGCUGUCGCCGACGCGUUUCCUUCGUUUCAAAGUGUAACUCGGCAAAAUCAGGAAAUCCCUCAGAUGCUAUCAGUGGUCGAGCAGCAAGGUGAAUUACAGGAUCUGGCUCCACACAGGACCUGAAAACAUCCUGUGCAAAGAGCUAUUGUUGAGCAAUGCUUUCUCUCGGUUUGUAUGGGCUCUAUUUCCUUUCCUUUUGUCAGUGACAUGCUUCUCAUAUCUAAUGGAGUAUUCUAAAGCUUUAUCAGGCCAUGUCUCCAGAAACACAAGCCCUUAUUUCCAUCAUAAUGGCUGAGGCCGGGUUGCAUCUCUUUAUGGCUGCAUGAAUGAUUGCCUCAGACUGAAAAUGGAUCAUGACGACUUACUAUAUAUUUGGCCUUUUCUCAAAUGCGUAAUCCAAAGUAUCAAACGUGCAAUGAAAUAUUUGUAUUACAACGUGUGGUUUAUUAUAAUCUUUCAAUUAUUAUUAUUUUUUUUUACACAGUUUAAACAGCAAUGGAUUUUUACAUGCAAUAAUCACAUUAUGCUGUGUCAUUAACAAGUGAUGUCAGUUCUCUAUCACAGCAUUUCCGAGCCUUGCGGGGAACCUGUUAAACAUUAACCGGCAGC